rnacentral:rRNA from 1 species
AACACAGGGAUUACCUCAGUAACGGCGAGUGAAGCGGUAACAGCUCAAAUUUGAAAUCUGGCUCUUUCAGGGUCCGAGAUUGUAAUUUGUAGAAGAUGUUUCGGGUGUGGCUCCGGUCUAAGUUCCUUGGAACAGGACGUCGUAGAGGGUGAGAAUCCCGUAUGUGACUGGCUGCCUCCGCCCAUGUGAAACUCUUUCGACGAGUCGAGUUGUUUGGGAAUGCAGCUCAAAAUGGGUGGUAAAUUUCAUCUAAAGCUAAAUAUUGACCAGAGACCGAUAGCGCACAAGUAGAGUGAUCGAAAGAUGAAAAGCACUUUGGAAAGAGAGUUAAACAGUACGUGAAAUUGUUGAAAGGGAAGCGCUUGCAAUCAGACUUGCGCGCGGCCGAUCAUCCGGGGUUCUCCCCGGUGCACUCGGUCGCGUUCAGGCCAGCAUCGGUUUGGGUGGUGGGAUAAAGGCCUUGGGAAUGUAGCUUCUUUCGGGGAGUGUUAUAGCCCUCGGUGCAAUGCCGCCUAUCCAGACCGAGGACCGCGCUUCGGCUAGGAUGCUGGCGUAAUGGUUGUAAGCGACCCGUCUUGAAACACGGACCAAGGAGUCUAACACUUAUGCGAGUAUUUGGGUGUCAAACCCAUAUGCGUAAUGAAAGUGAACGGAGGUGAGAACCCUUAAGGGUGCAUCAUCGACCGGUCCUGAUGUCUUCGGAUGGAUCUGAGUAAGAGCAUAAUUGUUAGGACCCGAAAGAAGGUGAACUAUGCCUGAAUAGGGUGAGGCCAGAGGAAACUCUGGUGGAGGCUCGCA